GCUCUUUGUAAUUGCUGCCUCGAGUUUCUCUCCACUGAGCUAACCAAACCAGGAAGUAACCGGAUCGGUUAUCUGACUGACAGCCAGGGGGGUGUAACAAGGUUCAGACACUUCACACAAAUCAUUUCACCAAGGUGAAGUGCUUUAUGUGUUUGGAGUAUACCUUUAACGCACCACAAAAGGACUGAAAAACACAGUAUAAACAUGCGCUGCAGAUCUACUG